UGGGGAAUUUUGGACAAUGGGGGCAACCCUGAUCCAGCCAUGCCGCGUGAGUGAAGAAGGCCUUCGGGUUGUAAAGCUCUUUCGGCCGGGAAGAAAUCGCGCCAGCUAAUACCUGGUGUGGAUGACGGUACCGGAAGAAGAAGCACCGGCUAACUACGUGCCAGCAGCCGCGGUAAUACGUAGGGUGCGAGCGUUAAUCGGAAUUACUGGGCGUAAAGCGUGCGCAGGCGGCUCUAUAAGACAGAUGUGAAAUCCCCGGGCUUAACCUGGGAACUGCGUUUGUGACUGUAGGGCUUGAGUGCGGCAGAGGGGGGUGGAAUUCCACGUGUAGCAGUGAAAUGCGUAGAGAUGUGGAGGAACACCGAUGGCGAAGGCAGCCCCCUGGGUCGACACUGACGCUCAUGCACGAAAGCGUGGGGAGCAAACAGGAUUAGAGACCCUGGUAG
rnacentral:rRNA from 1 species